rnacentral:rRNA from 1 species
CCUACGGGUGGCUGCAGUGAGGAAUAUUGGUCAAUGGGCUUAGGCCUGAACCAGCCAAGUCGCGUGAGGGAAGACUGCCCUAUGGGUUGUAAACCUCUUUUAUCAGGGAAGAAUAAUGACUACGUGUAGUCAGAUUCCCGUUACUUAUGAAUAAGCAUCGGCUAACUCCGUGCCAGCAGCCGCGGUAAUACGGAGGAUGCGAGCGUUAUCCGGAUUUAUUGGGUUUAAAGGGUGCGUAGGCGGAAUUUUAAGUUAGUGGUAAAACGGCGGGGCUUCACCUUGCUUCGCCAUUAAAACUGGAGUACUAGAGUACAGACGAGGUAGGCGGAAUAAGUUAAGUAGCGGUGAAAUGCAUAGAUAUAACGUAGAACCCCGAUAGCGAAGGCAGCUUACCAGAGUGUUACUGACGCUGAAGCACGAGAGCGUGGGUAUCGAACAGGAUUAGAUACCCGUGUAGUC